AACGAACGCUGGCGGCAUGCCUAACACAUGCAAGUCGAACGAGACCUUCGGGUCUAGUGGCGCACGGGUGCGUAACGCGUGGGAACCUGCCUUUAGGUUCGGAAUAACUCAGAGAAAUUUGAGCUAAUACCGGAUGAUGUCUUCGGACCAAAGAUUUAUCGCCUUUAGAUGGGCCCGCGUUGGAUUAGCUAGUUGGUGGGGUAAAGGCCUACCAAGGCGACGAUCCAUAGCUGGUCUGAGAGGAUGAUGAGCCACACUGGGACUGAGACACGGCCCAGACUCCUACGGGAGGCAGCAGUGGGGAAUAUUGGACAAUGGGCGAAAGCCUGAUCCAGCAAUGCCGCGUGAGUGAUGAAGGCCUUAGGGUUGUAAAGCUCUUUUACCCGAGAUGAUAAUGACAGUAUCGGGAGAAUAAGCUCCGGCUAACUCCGUG
rnacentral:rRNA from 1 species